rnacentral:rRNA from 1 species
GACGAACGCUGGCGGCGUGCUUAAUACAUGCAAGUCGAACGGAAAGGCCCUGCUCUUGUGGGGUGCUUGAGUGGCGAAGGGGUGAGUAACACGCGAGUAAACCGCCCCUGACUUUGGGAUAACAUUAGGAAACUGGGGAUCAUACCGGAUAGGAGCUCUUGCUGCACGGGGGGGGUUGGUAAGUUUCGGCGGUGGGGGCAGGACUCGCGGGUUAUCAGCUUGUUUGUGGGGUAGUGGCUUACCAAGGCUUUGACGGGUAGCCGGCCUGAGAGGGUGACCGGCCACAAUGGGACUGAGAUACGGCCCAGACUCCUACGGGAGGCAGCAGUGGGGAAUAUUGCACAAUGGGCGGAAGCCUGAUGCAGCAGCGCCGCGUGCGGGAUGACGGCCUUCGGGUUGUAAACCGCUUUCGCCUGUGACGAAGCGUGAGUGACGGUAAUGGGUAAAGAAGCACCGGCUAACUACGUG